GAAGUUGGAUUCGCUAGUAAUCGCGCAUCAGCCACGGCGCGGUGAAUACGUUCCCGGGCCUUGUACACACCGCCCGUCAAGCCAUGGGAGCCGGGGGUACCUGAAGUGCGUAACCGCGAGGAUCGCCCUAGGGUAAAACUGGUGACUGGGGCUAAGUCGUAACAAGGUAAC
rnacentral:rRNA from 1 species